rnacentral:rRNA from 1 species
CUACGGGCGGCAGCAGUGGGGAAUAUUGGACAAUGGGCGAAAGCCUGAUCCAGCCAUGCCGCGUGUGUGAAGAAGGCCUUCGGGUUGUAAAGCACUUUCAGUGGGGAAGAAAGCCUUGGGGCUAAUACCCUCGAGGAAGGACAUCACCCACAGAAGAAGCACCGGCUAACUCCGUGCCAGCAGCCGCGGUAAUACGGAGGGUGCGAGCGUUAAUCGGAAUUACUGGGCGUAAAGCGCGCGUAGGCGGUCUGAUAAGCCGGUUGUGAAAGCCCCGGGCUCAACCUGGGAACGGCAUCCGGAACUGUCAGGCUAGAGUGCAGGAGAGGAAGGUAGAAUUCCCGGUGUAGCGGUGAAAUGCGUAGAGAUCGGGAGGAAUACCAGUGGCGAAGGCGGCCUUCUGGACUGACACUGACGCUGAGGUGCGAAAGCGUGGGUAGCAAACAGGAUUAGAUACCCGGGUAGUC